CAUGUGUUCAUUGUUAGCACUUGACUUUCUCUGGAGAUUUUUUAUUUGGACAGAGUUUUGGAAUAAAACAUUUGUGAAAGUUGGGAAGGGGAGCAGUCUGUAGAGCACCCAGGAAUUCGGCUGUUUCGGGCUUUUGGCCACCCAACAGGAAAACAUUUGAAGGGAAAAGGGAGAGUUCAGUUUGUGUUCUGGACCUUUCGUUGGGACACGUGGUGUCCUGCAGACACUGGUCUUGAUUGCCCGUUCCAUAAGUCAUACCACUGCUUCCUCAAGUCUUGGGGAAAAGGAAGGUAGCUUUAUGGACCCUGAUUAACCAUAGCUUCCUGACACUGCCCCAUUCUUGCCCAGAGCUAAUGACUUGAAGGUGUGUAUGUCCAGGAAACAUGAUUAACUCAUUGCAAAAAUGACUGUGCUAGGGGCAGUGAAGGACACAAAAACGAGACAUAGCUCCUGCCCUUAAGGAGAUUGAAGUUGGGCUUGAUAUCAAGUAGAACAUGAUAAGGAAAAGAAAAAAAUAUCCAGGUUGUUCAGAGGGGGGAGAGGUCACUGCCAGGUAAGGGUGGAUGUCAUAAAAGAUUGAGAAGAAGAUGAUCUUUGAAUCAGGCCCUGAUGGUGAGUAGUCUUUGGACCUACACAGAUGGGGGAAGGGCAUUCUAGGUCGAAGGCACAGAGAGAGUCAAGGGGCAGGCGUGGGAAAGCAUGUAGGGAGAGGGGCCAUGACAAACAAUUCAGGACCCAUUGAACACAGGCUGCAUAAAGAGAAGAAUGAGAAGAAAUCCGGGAAGGGAAAUUGAUGCAAGUGUGUGAGCAGCCUUGAGUGCCAAUGUAAGGAGCAAAGUCUCCAGGGAAUGCUCCCCCUCCCAUGUCCCCAGAAUUGUUCUGGUCACGUCACCACAUUUGCCUGGAAUAGGAAGAUUAUUAGAGUGACCAUAUUUACAUGGGUGCACUUGAACCCCCUCCAUCUUCUUUCUUUUUCACACUUCUCCUUCUAUACGUAGGUAAAUGCUAUGGCAAAUUAAAGUGUUUCCCAUUGCUGAGGUUUGGAGCACCAUCCUGGAAAUUCCUGUUGGCCUCAAAACCAUUGCUCACAGAGGUUCAGGAUUCUCCCAAGUUUCAGUGUUUUUUAUGAGCUGAUGAACAUUUGUAGAAGCUGCCCCGUUCCUUCUGGUCCAUGGACCCAGAGGGGACUGUGCAAUGCAAGAAUUGAGGUGCUUUGGGAAAUUCAUCAGUUUGUUCAACAAACAUUUAUUGAGCCGCUGCUAUGUGCCUUAACAUUGCUCUAUGUGCUGGGGACAAAGUGUGUAAACAAGACUGACAGGGUCCCUGUCUUCAUGGGAUUUACUUUUUGGUGGGACAGACAAAAAGUUAUCAAGAUCAUUUCAGAAGGGAAGUUAAGAAGGGAAACAAGGGAAAUAAACAAGUUACGUGAUAAAGAGUGACGGAAGGAAGAGAAGGACAACCACGUCAGAGAAGAUGGUCAGAGGCGACCUGAAGGAUGGGGGCUGAGAAGGAGCCAGCUAGAUGAAUGGCGGCCAGGAGAGAAACAUGGCGAGCAGAGGACACAGCAAGUACAAGUGCAUGGUCGAUAUGAAGACAGAGACCCGCUGACCACCCCAGCCCUCACUCCCCACCCCCAGAAUCAAGCUGGAAUCGAAAUGGAGCGCGACCAUCAUGCUCUCACUGCCUCUCAGCCACCUGCAGCCAAUGUGGAGCCAGAUCUGGGCAGUUUACAGCACAGCCCCUGUCCUGAACUCCCCUCAAUGGCCCCCCAAAACAACAUGGGUUACAAAAAUAUUUCAUGCCAACUCAUUUCAUACUUCAUGUAUUUUAUUAAUAAAGAAGAUGAAACUUC